UAAUCUAUUUAUUACAUAUCAUCAUUUAGUCAUAAUUAAUACAUACUUAACUACUCAGAAUUACAUGUUAUCUCAUUUUCAGUACUUCAAUGGAAAUUUCAUAGUGAAGAUU
rfam:Populus trichocarpa scaffold_15_contig_102, whole genome shotgun sequence.